rnacentral:rRNA from 1 species
GAUGAACGCUGGCGGCGUGCCUAAUACAUGCAAGUCGAGCGAAACGACGUGGAAAUUGUUCCUCUGAAUUUAGCGGCGGUCGGGUAAGUAACAAGUGGUUAACAACCCUUUAAGAAUGGGCUAACUUCAGGGGAAUAACGCUAUUACAGGAAAAUUAAUAGAACAGCACGGAUCAAUAGCACAAGGCGGUUAUGUUGACACUUAUAUAUCGAUCCGAUCGGCAUUAGUUAGUUGGUAAGGUAACGGCUUACCAAGCCCACGAAGCGUAGCCGACCUGAGAGGGUGAUCGGCCACACUGGAACUGAGACACGGUCCAGACUCCUACGUGAGGCAGCAGUAGGGCAUCUUCCGCAAUGAGCGGAAGCCUGACGUAGCAACGCCGCGUGAGUGAUGAAGGUCUUCGGAUCGUAAAACUCUGUUAUUAUGGAAGAACAAAUUUGUAAGUAACUAUGCACGUCUUGACGGUACCUAAUCAGAAAGCUACGGCUAACUACGUG